rnacentral:rRNA from 1 species
UACGGAAGGGGCAAGCGUUGUCCGGAAUCAUUGGGCGUAAAGCGCGUGUAGGCGGUCUGGUAAGUCGGUUGUGAAAGUCCAGGGCUCAACCCUGGGAUGCCGACCGAUACUGUCGGACUAGAGUUCGGAAGAGGCGAGUGGAAUUCCCGGUGUAGCGGUGAAAUGCGCAGAUAUCGGGAGGAACACCAAUGGCGAAGGCAGCUCGCUGGGACGUUACUGACGCUGAGACGCGAAAGCGUGGGGAGCAAACAGG